rnacentral:lncRNA from 1 species
AUGGGUGAAGGAGAGUUUUACUCCUUGGGUCACUUGGGCGUUUCAUCCCACAGUGGGAGGAGAGGGGUUCUGAGCAGUUUUACUCCCUGGUUUAUUUGGGUGUUUUAUCCCCAGGGAUGUGAGAGAAGGGUUCUGAGCUCCCUGGGGCUCCCACACUCAGCACACACAGCAUUCCAGGUGGGAAUGUGCUGUCCCCAAGCACACACAGGGGCCAUUCCAGGUGGGAAUGUGCUGUCCCCAAGCACACACAGGGUUCCAGGUGGGAAUGUGCUGUCCCCAAGCACACACAGCACUCCAGGUGGGACUGUGCUGUCCCCAAGCACACACAGGGUUCCAGGUGGGAAUGUGCUGUCCCCAAGCACACACAGCACUCCAGGUGGGACUGUCCUGUCCUUACCCUCCCUGCAGGACCUGCGGAAGGUCAGCGUGGAGUCCAUCUCGUUCUUGAUCUUGAUCAGGGCAUCGAGCACCAUGGGCCCACACCUGCGGCACAAAGCCCAAAUCAGAGCCCCCACAUGCAGGGUGUGACCCCUGCACCCGCCCUCAGCAGCACCUAAAGGGGUUUUUAACAACUCCCAGGAAUUCUGGGGGGAUCCCACAGGGAUCUCUGAGCAGCAGGGCAGCCCAGGGCCAGGGUGGGUCAGACUCCUGUGACCACUGAGGGCUCGGCCAAGCCAAACCCCAGUGACUGUGCUGGCCCCUUUUCCCCUUUUGGGGUCAGGCUGUGACAGCCCUGCCUGGCCCUGUGAGUCACAAGGGACACAGGACAAACACUCAGGGACAAUUUCUGUCAUUUUACACCCAGGGCACCACCCAGGGAUUGUUCACUGGGGCAAAGCCACCCCAAAACCGGAGCUGUGGCUCCUGUGGGGUUUGGGUAGGGCUGGGUGGGAGCGGGAGCUCCUGGAAGGGUUUGGGNACUGGGCAUAGAAGUUACUCAGGUCCUGGGGCAGGAAAAGCACAGGGACCUGCUUAUGGGGCUGAGGAGAAUCAGGGAACAUCCCCAUCCCCAAAUCCCACCCCAAAUCCCAUCCCUGCUGUCAUUGGGGCAGGAAAAGCACAGGGACCUGCUUAUGGGGCUGAGGAGAAUCAGGGAACAUCCCCAUCCCCAAAUCCCACCCAGCUGGAUACACCCCAAAUCCCAUCCCUGCUGUCUACCUCAAAUCCCACCCCUGUGUCCUGGGGACAGGAACAGCACAGGGACCUGGUUCUGGGGCUGAGGAGAAUCAGGGAACAUCCCCAUCCCCAAAUCCCACCCCAGCUGGAUACACCUCAAAUCCCAGCCCUGCUGUUCACCCCAAAUCCUAUUCCUGCUAUCUUGGGGGCAGGAACAGCACAGGGACCUGGUUAUGGGGCUGAGGAGAAGAAUUAGGAAAUAUCUCCAUCCCCAAAUCCCAGCCCUGCUGUCCACCCUAAAUCCCACCCCUGCAAUUCUGGGGGCAGGAAAAGCACUGGGACCUGGUUCUGGGGCUGAGGAGAAUCAGGGAACAUCCCCAAAUCCCACCCCUGUGUCCUGGGGCAGGAACAG